rnacentral:rRNA from 1 species
UACGGAGGGUGCGAGCGUUAAUCGGAAUUACUGGGCGUAAAGCGCACGUAGGCGGUCAGGCAAGUCGGGUGUGAAAGCCCUGGGCUCAACCUGGGAAUUGCAUUCGAAACCAUCUGACUAGAGUAUGGGAGAGGGAAGCGGAAUUUCCGGUGUAGCGGUGAAAUGCGUAGAUAUCGGAAGGAACACCAGUGGCGAAGGCGGCUUCCUGGACUAAUACUGACGCUGAGGUGCGAAAGCGUGGGGAGCAAACAGG